rnacentral:rRNA from 1 species
GCGGUGCAGGAUGAGCCCGCGGCCUAUCAGCUAGUUGGUGAGGUAAUGGCUCACCAAGGCGACGACGGGUAGCCGGCCUGAGAGGGCGACCGGCCACACUGGGACUGAGACACGGCCCAG